rnacentral:rRNA from 1 species
AGCGAACGCUGGCGGCAUGCCUAACACAUGCAAGUCGAACGAUUGCCUUCGGGUGAUAGUGGCGCACGGGUGCGUAACGCGUGGGAAUCUGCCCUUAGGUUCGGAAUAACAGCUGGAAACGGCUGCUAAUACCGGAUGAUAUCGCGAGAUCAAAGAUUUAUCGCCUGAGGAUGAGCCCGCGUUGGAUUAGGUAGUUGGUGGGGUAAAGGCCUACCAAGCCGACGAUCCAUAGCUGGUCUGAGAGGAUGAUCAGCCACACUGGGACUGAGACACGGCCCAGACUCCUACGGGAGGCAGCAGUGGGGAAUAUUGGCCAAUGGGCGCGAGCCUGAUCCAGCAAUGCCGCGUGAGUGAUGAAGGCCCUAGGGUUGUAAAGCUCUUUUACCCGGGAAGAUAAUGACUGUACCGGGAGAAUAAGCCCCGGCUAACUCCGUG